rnacentral:rRNA from 1 species
AUUGAACGCUGGCGGCAUGCCUUACACAUGCAAGUCGAACGGCAGCACGGGUGCUUGCACCUGGUGGCGAGUGGCGAACGGGUGAGUAAUACAUCGGAACGUACCUUAUCGUGGGGGAUAACGCAGCGAAAGCUGUGCUAAUACCGCAUACGCCCUGAGGGGGAAAGCGGGGGAUCGCAAGACCUCGCGCGAUUAGAGCGGCCGAUGCCUGAUUAGCUUGUUGGUGGGGUAAAAGCCCACCAAGGCGACGAUCAGUAGCUGGUCUGAGAGGACGAUCAGCCACACUGGGACUGCGACACGGCGCAGACUACUACGGGAGGCAGCAGUGGGGACUUUUGGACAAUGGGGGCAACCCUGAUCCAGCAAUGCCGCGUGAGUGAAGAAGGCCUUCGGGUUGUAAAGCUCUUUUGUCAGGGAAGAAACACCGGCUCUAACACAGUCCGGGAAUGACGGUACCUGAAGAAUAAGCACCGGCUAACUACGUGCCAGCCGCCGCGGUAAUAC